rnacentral:lncRNA from 1 species
GAGCCUGGCAGCUGGGGACUUCCUGGAGGAGGCAUAUGCAAGCUGGGUCAUGAAGGAUGAGCAGGAUUUAGACAAUGGCAGAAGAAGGGAGGGAAUUCUGAGAGGAGAGAGCCCUGUGGGCAAUGACCUGGAGGCUGAAAGGCACAGAGCAUAUUCCAUCCUGGCCAGUAUAAGGUGCAUGGGGAGAAGCAGGAAGAGGGUUACCUAGAAGGACCCCAACACCAGGCUGAGGAGUAUAGUGUGCUGAAAUGAAGGAUCCAGUGAAUGUGGCAUACAUACGUUUACGAUCUUUUCACUCCAGAACAUUGAUAGCCAGUCCAGUACCUUCCAAACAGAUCAGAAGGGUCUACCCUGGGGAAUUCAGCACACCCUGGGGGCUCCGACCCGGGGGCUGCGGGAAGUGAGGGCCACUUGGAAGGGCCUUUUCACCUCAGUGUGCUCAGCUGUCAAAUGGAUGGUAUUGGUGUCUGCCUAGGGGAGUCGCUGUGAA